AUUCCGUAAGCUUCCGAUAAACCACAGAUCCGCCAAGGGCAAGUUGGAGGUGAAGAAAAUCACUAUAUAUGCUAUGCUUGACGUGGUUAAAAAAUUGGAGGAAGCAAGGUCUGAAGAAAAGAAACCAAUUAUUCAAUGUAAAUAUAUCUGAGAAGUCCAAUUGGGAAUGUACAUUUUUUUGAGUCACUUCAUUAGGUUCACUAAUCUUCAGUUCUUUGUAUUUCAACUGUACAAGCUACAAAAGGUUCCAUAUUGUGUUUUAUAUGGCGCACCUUGAUUAGGUACAUUUGAAACAUUGUACUUAUCAAACUAAUGAAUGCAUGAUGAUGAGAUUCUA